rnacentral:rRNA from 1 species
GACAGAGGUGCCGAGCGUUAGGCGGAAUCACUGGGCUUAAAGCGUGUGUAGGCGGGUGGCUAAGUACUUUUGGAAAUCCCACGGCUCAACCGUGGAACUGCUUGGUAUACUGGGUAUCUUGAGCCACUUAGGGGCAACCGGAACAAACGGUGGAGCGGUGAAAUGCGUAGAUAUCGUUUGGAACGCCAAUGGUGAAAACAGGUUGCUGGGAGUGUGCUGACGCUGAGACACGAAAGCCAGGGGAGCAAACGGG